rnacentral:sRNA from 2 species
UCUCGUUAUGAGUAUUCCCGAUAGGAUUCACUACCUGUGAAGAAGCCUUGUAACCGAUAAUAUUAAUUGCCGAAUCAAAUAGGAUGACGCAAAAUGGGGGAAUUAUUUUG